AGCAAAUGUUGUCCAGGCUACGUUGGUGAUGCAGUUUUUUUUAAUGUGUAUGAUAUUUUUGUCAUGCGAUUUUAAAGCCGGUCCUACAACCGCAUCCAAGAAUAACAUGCAGCUUAUCUCAGAACUGUCGGUGAAAAUUAUUCUUGGAGCUAGGUUUAAUUGAGCUGCAUUUUAAAGAGGUGCAAUUUCACAAUUUGUGUAUAUUUUCUAAGUUCACUAUUUUGUCAUGUGUUGAGAAAAACACAGAUUUUAAAAUUACAUGGUCUAACAUUUACAUUUAGCAUAACUGCAACAUUAUUUUUUCGUUUUUUUUUUUUAAAGACUCGAAAGGACUUGAAAUUCAAAGUUUCAGACUUGUGACUUGACUCGGACUUUUACACCAGUGACUUGAGACUCGACUCUGACUUGCCUGACAUUACUUGAGACUUGACUUGAGACUUGAGGAUAAAGACUUGAGACUUACUUGAGACUUGCAAAACAAUGACUUGGUCCCACCUCUGGUUAGAAGUUUUGAAUGAUCCAGCAUACUUGCUUUCCACUUGUUGUCCUGUGGAUAAAGCUCUUGUUAUUGCAUACUUUUUCGUUCAGGUCCUUUGGUCACCUUGUGGAUUUCACUUAUUUUCAGACACUACUGAUCAUGUCUCUAGAAAUCAUCUUCAGCACCUAAUCUUUUGAAGUCACUGACCCCUAUUCCUUAACGUAAGUCGCAGAAUAUAACUGAGAAGAUUUUCACGAGUGUCUCUUUUUUGUCUCUCUGCGGGAACGCCACUCUUGUAGUGAGGGUAAAAAUUGUUUUGAACUCUUUUGAGAACUCCAUCAAAAUAAUAGAAGUGUUCGUUUUCUUCAUCAUUACGUCGGCUGUUGUCAUCGUCUCUGAUAGGGUCUGUCUGCAGUUCACCUGGAACCAUAGGAUGCCUUGAAGCAAACAUCUUUGUUCCUCCGAGUCUCUCUUUGCAGUGUUUCCAGCCAGCUUUCGUGCGAUGUAUUAAACCUGUGCAGAGCGGCACAGUGUCCCC
ensembl:lncRNA